rnacentral:rRNA from 1 species
AAGCCCCGCAAGGGGUCGGUAGCGUGGCAAACGGGUGAGUAACACGUGGGUGACCUGCCUUCGAGUGGGGGAUAACGUCCCGAAAGGGACGCUAAUACCGCAUGACAUCCUGCCUUUGGAGAGGCGGAGAUCAAAGCUGGGGAUCGCAAGACCUAGCGCUUGAAGAGGGGCCCGCGCCUGAUUAGCUAGUUGGUGGGGUAAUGGCUCACCAAGGCAACGAUCAGUAUCCGGCCUGAGAGGGCGGACGGACACACUGGGACUGAGAUACGGCCCAGACUCCUACGGGAGGCAGCAGUGGGGAAUAUUGCACAAUGGGCGCAAGCCUGAUGCAGCGACGCCGCGUGAGGGAUGACGGCCUUCGGG